AGUCAUGAAAGCAAAAACACAAUAACAAAACAAAACAAAAAACAAGGUCUUUGAUGUUCAGAAGGAUGUCCUUAAACUUGCCAAUAUUGCUUAAGCAGAAUAUUAAAAAUGUCUGCUCAUUUGUUUUUUUAAUUGUUUGGAAAAAUCACCUUCCUUGUUCACUCUUCUUAUGUUUUAUAUAGACACAGCCGAAAUCAACCACCAAUCCUUUCUAAAGCCUGAUCUUUUUAAAAAAAAUCCUGAAUACAUUCUGUUUCCUAUGACUGCUACCUAGAUUGUUUUAGCGUGGCUUUUAUUAAUGUGUUUUCAUGUGGAGCCUAGAAUACAGCCUUGUAGUCUCAUGUAUACAUGCCCUUUUUUGAUAAUCCAAAUGAAGUAACAAAGAACCCAAGUUCUAAGCAAAAGUUUUGCUGAAACUCAACCCAAUGAUUGAUCACAUCUUCAAGGAAGAUGGUAGAAAAUUGAUUGAACAUGGAGAGAACUAGCAUUGAUUGGAAGAAACUUUUACUGACUUUUACUGCAGAUUGAAUUUUGUCCUCCCAAACACCUGGCAAAGAAAGAUCACCUUCGAUGGAUGGACAGUAUUUCUUUCAUAUUGGAAUACAUACAGAAUGUACAACUUCAACUCAUUUUGUAAUAUUACAUUAAACAUUUAUGCC